AAUGCCAAUCACUGGACUUACAUCAGCAUCCGAACCAAAACACACACAAAAAGGAAAACGUGGAGCCCGAACGCCAAUCACUGGACUUACAUCGGCAUCCGAACCAAAACACACGCACACUGGAACCCGAAUGCCACUCGAUGGACUUACAUCAGCUUCCAAGCACACAACAACCAAACAAGUUAAUAGGGAGUCGGGAACUCGAGCCUAUAAC
rnacentral:lncRNA from 1 species